GACGAACGCUGGCGGCGUGCUUAACACAUGCAAGUCGAACGGAAAGGCCCUGCUUUUGUGGGGUGCUCGAGUGGCGAACGGGUGAGUAACACGUGAGUAACCUUCCCUUUACUUUGGGAUAACUUCAGGAAACUGGGGCUAAUACCGGAUAGGAGCUCCUGCUGCUUGGUGGGGGUUGGAAAGUUUCGGCGGUUGGGGAUGGACUCGCGGCUUAUCAGCUUGUUGGUGGGGUAGUGGCUUACCAAGGCUUUGACGGGUAGCCGGCCUGAGAGGGUGACCGGCCACAUUGGGACUGAGAUACGGCCCAGACUCCUACGGGAGGCAGCAGUGGGGAAUAUUGCACAAUGGGCGGAAGCCUGAUGCAGCAACGCCGCGUGCGGGAUGACGGCCUUCGGGUUGUAAACCGCUUUCGCCUGUGACGAAGCGUGAGUGACGGUAAUGGGUAAAGAAGCACCGGCUAACUACGUG
rnacentral:rRNA from 1 species